CCACCUUGGUGACCUGGGACUCCCCCGCCAGGCUGGUCCCAGCUGAUGCUGACCGACUUUCACCUCUGGGGUCUUGCGUUGUGCCCUCUUUUCUAACCCCGGGCUUUUGAAGAAGACUUUGAGCUGACAUGAGCAUCCUUUCUGCCUGCCUGGGGAGACUCGCCGCAGGGAUCCUGUGCUCCUUCAUCGGCUGAGCGCCAACCUCGCCCACGGUCCUAAGUCAGUAUUUGACCUGUAUACUCGCCCCUCCUCUCCCAGACACCGUCAUCUGCCUGGCCAUGGCCAGCGUCGGCGUGCCGUGAGUGUCGGGUGCCUGUUUCCCCUGACAGGUGGCAGUGAGAUGGCCCACACUUCGGCGUGUCUCUCUCUUCCCACUGUGGAAGAGCCCCUGCCAGGCAAGAGGCGUCCACGCGGGAAGCGUCCCAUCCGCCUCUGGGCAGGACACGCUGUGUCUUUGGGGAAAACAUCGGCAUGGGAUGUUAUGUAGCGUGUGGUCAUGUGCUUUGCCUUUUCUUUGUCUUAAUGGUGUCUUUUGAAAAGCAGAAGUUUUAAUUUCA